AUUGAACGCUGGCGGUAUGCUUAACACAUGCAAGUCGAACGAUGAGAAAGAGCUUGCUCUUUCGAUUAGUGGCGGACGGGUGCGUAACGCGUAGGAAUCUACCUAUUAGUGGGGGACAACUUAGGGAAACUUAAGCUAAUACCGCAUACGCCCUACGGGGGAAAGAAGGGGAUCGCAAGACCUUUUGCUAAUAGAUGAGCCUGCGUAGGAUUAGCUAGUUUGUGGGGUAAAAGCUCACCAAGGCGACGAUCCUUAACUGGUUUGAGAGAAUGAUCAGUCACACUGGAACUGAGACACGGUCCAGACUCCUACGGGAGGCAGCAGUGGGGAAUAUUGGACAAUGGGCGAAAGCCUGAUCCAACAAUACCGCGUGUGUGAAGAAGGCCUUAGGGUUGUAAAGCACUUUCAAUUGGAAGGAAAACCUCGAAGCUAAUACCUUCGAGUUUGACAUUACCUUUAGAAGAAGCACCGGCUAACUCCGUGCCAGCAGCCGCCGUAA
rnacentral:rRNA from 1 species